AGAGUUUGAUCCUGGCUCAGGAUGAACGCUAGCUACAGGCUUAACACAUGCAAGUCGCGGGGCAGCAUGAAUUUAGCUUGCUAAAUUUGAUGGCGACCGGCGCACGGGUGAGUAACGCGUAUCCAACCUUCCCCUGUCCACGGGAUAGCCCGUCGAAAGGCGGAUUAAUACCGUAUGAGGUCACAUGACGGCAUCAGAGUGUGACGAAAGGUUUGGCGGACAGGGAUGGGGAUGCGUCCGAUUAGCUUGUUGGCGGGGUAACGGCCCACCAAGGCAACGAUCGGUAGGGGUUCUGAGAGGAAGGUCCCCCACAUUGGAACUGAGACACGGUCCAAACUCCUACGGGAGGCAGCAGUGAGGAAUAUUGGUCAAUGGGCGAGAGCCUGAACCAGCCAAGUAGCGUGCAGGAUGACGGCCCUAUGGGUUGUAAACUGCUUUUAUGCGGGGAUAACGUGCACCACGUGUGGUGUAUUGCAGGUACCGCAUGAAUAAGGACCGGCUAAUUCCGUGCCAGCAGCCGCGGUAAUACGGAAGGUCCGGGCGUUAUCCGGAUUUAUUGGGUUUAAAGGGAGCGUAGGCCGCUGUUUAAGCGUGUUGUGAAAAACCGGGGCUCAACUCCGGUCGUGCAGCGCGAACUGGACGGCUUGAGUGCGCGGUAAGUGGGCGGAAUUUGUGGUGUAGCGGUGAAAUGCUUAGAUAUCACGAAGAACUCCGAUUGCGAAGGCAGCUCACUGUAGCGCAACUGACGCUGAAGCUCGAAAGUGCGGGUAUCGAACAGGAUUAGAUACCCUGGUAGUCCGCACGGUAAACGAUGGAUGCCCGCUGUUCCGACUAUUAGUUGGAGUGGCCAAGCGA
rnacentral:rRNA from 1 species